AUUACUUUCAAUUGUUAAUGUUUAAAUCAUGUUCAAAGGAAUCUUAUGGUUAAAUUAUUCAUGAGUCACAUUCUAUUUAGAUAUUCGUUAGAUGGGAUUCUAAGAAUAAGUGGAAUUUGUAGCAUCAUUCAAUCGAAGAAAAUAGUGGCAGCCUUAGGGCUGAGAGGGCACAAGGCUCCUUUGUGUGUUACUCAAAAGCACCUCCUCUGGGCUCCCAAAGGCCAAUAGAUGCAUGGCUUAGGGAGUAGGCUCAGGCUGGCUUUCAGCCCCACUCACCAGCUUGGCUUUGUGCCUAUGUGCAGAGAAAAACCCAUAGAACCCUUUGGAAUGGACCUGACCAGCUUCAUUUAGAAAUGGAGAAAUUUGAUGACAUAGAAGACUUAAUUUCCUCCUCAUGAUUAAUCUCACAGUUGGAGAGUAUACCCACUCUUACAAAGAAUCCAGGGGAUGAUGCAGGAAGAAAGCCCUCAUCAGAUGCUGACAUCAUGAUCUUGGACUUCCCAGCCUCCAGACUGAUAAGAAAUAAAUUUCUGUUCGUUAUAAAUUA